CAGCUGCCUCUCUUUAGGAUAGUGGGCUCUUUUAUUAAACAGGAGGGUUACAAAGGAUUGUAUAGUGCUCUAAAGGGACAGCGACACCAAACCAGAAACCCCAUGCAGCUGACAUGCAGCCACCUUGCAGAGCCUUAAUAUAUCUUCCAGCUGCUGAUGUCCAGGUAGCUGUGCCAUCUCCAGAGCAAAUAACUUCUGCCAGGCUGGCUGCCCGCAGCUUUCCCUUGGAAAUCCCCCAUUUCUAACCUUAACUGCUUUUCUUACAAGGAAGAAGCAUCCCCCUGAGUUUAAAGGCAUUCCAAAGGCACUGUGGACAAAAAGAAGAUGAGACAGAACUGGGGACCACAUCAGCCGCUUCUACUGCCUGUUCUGAGUGACCUCUGCAUAGAUGUAAUUUGAUGUACAUCAUACUUGAGAGAGAAAGACUAAGAGAGGGAAAUGAGUUUCUCCUCAAGGGUUUGAUCCUGUGUAAAGCUUCAGGUCCAAAGUUUAUGAUCAUUUAAC